GACGUAGGGCGCGAGCGUUGUCCGGAUUUAUUGGGCGUAAAGAGCUCGUAGGCGGUUUGUCGCGUCUGCCGUGAAAGUCCGGGGCGUCCAACUCCGGAUCUGCGGUGGGUACGGGCAGACUAGAGUGAUGUAGGGGGAGGAACUUGGGAAUUCCUGGUGUAGCAGUGAAAUGCGCAGAUAUCAGGAGGAACACCGGUGGCGAAGGCGGGUCUCUGGGCCGAUACUGACGCUGAGGAGCGAAAGCGUGGGGAGCGAACAGG
rnacentral:rRNA from 1 species